UCUUGUGAUUAGCAAUCAAGGACAGUUUCUCAGCUAAUCAGCACAGGAAGAAGAGCCUAUGGUAACAGACAAUAAAGGAACAGUCCUUCAAAUCACUUCCACACAUGCAUUGCCUGGGGACGGGGGACUGGGGUCUGGAUCCCAUGGCCAGACCAAACCCCAAAGGUUUGGAGGGAUGUUGGGUUGGGGAACUACUGUUUCAUUUCCUUAAAGUACUAUUUGGCUUUUUAAAUUGCCUGUGCCCAUGCAUAUGCAUACAUAGUCUAAAGUUAAAUUUUUAAAACCA
rnacentral:lncRNA from 1 species